rnacentral:rRNA from 1 species
GAUGAACGCUGGCGGCGUGCUUAACACAUGCAAGUCGAACGGAAAGGCCCAAGCUUGCUUGGGUACUCGAGUAGCGAACGGGUGAGUAACACGUGGGUGAUCUGCCCUGCACUUCGGGAUAAGCCUGGGAAACUGGGUCUAAUACCGGAUAGGACCACAUUUUGGAUGGUGUGGUGGAAAGUUUUUCGGUGUGGGAUGAGCUCGCGGCCUAUCAGCUUGUUGGUGGGGUAAUGGCCUACCAAGGCGUCGACGGGUAGCCGGCCUGAGAGGGUGUACGGCCACAUUGGGACUGAGAUACGGCCCAGACUCCUACGGGAGGCAGCAGUGGGGAAUAUUGCACAAUGGGCGCAAGCCUGAUGCAGCGACGCCGCGUGGGGGAUGACGGCCUUCGGGUUGUAAACUCCUUUCGCUAGGGACGAAGCGCAAGUGACGGUACCUGGAGAAGAAGCACCGGCUAACUACGUG